rnacentral:rRNA from 1 species
UGGGGAAUAUUGGACAAUGGGCGCAAGCCUGAUCCAGCAAUGCCGCGUGAGUGAGGAAGGCCUUAGGGUUGUAAAGCUCUUUCGGCGGGGACGAUGAUGACGGUACCCGCAGAAGAAGCCCCGGCUAACUUCGUGCCAGCAGCCGCGGUAAUACGAAGGGGGCGAGCGUUGUUCGGAUUUACUGGGCGUAAAGGGCGCGCAGGCGGCGGAUCAAGUCAGGCGUGAAAGCCCCGGGCUCAACCUGGGAAUGGCGCUUGGGACUGGUUUGCUAGAGAUCGGGAGAGGAGCGUGGAAUUCCCAGUGUAGAGGUGAAAUUCGUAGAUAUUGGGAAGAACACCGGUGGCGAAGGCGGCGCUCUGGACCGAUACUGACGCUGAGGCGCGAAAGCGUGGGGAGCAAACAGGAUUAGAUACCCCCGUAGUCC